rnacentral:rRNA from 1 species
AAUGAACGCUGGCGGCGCGCCUAAUACAUGCAAGUCGAGCGAGAAGACGUAGCAAUACGUUUGUAAAGCGGCGAACGGGUGAGGAAUACAUGGGUAACCUACCCUCGAGUGGGGAAUAACUAGCCGAAAGGUUAGCUAAUACCGCGUACGCUUCUUGGACUUCGGUUCAGGGAGGAAAGCGAUGCCGAGGGUAUCGCGCUCUUGGAUGGGCUCAUGUCCUAUCAGCCUGUUGGGAGGUAACGGCUCACCAAGGCUUCGACGAGUAGCUGGUCUGAGAGGACGAUCAGCCACACUGGCACUGCGACACGGGCCAGACUCCUACGGGAGGCAGCAGUAAGGAAUAUUGCGCAAUGGGCGAAAAGCCUGACGCAGCGACGCCGCGUGGGGGA